UAACGCAAACAUUAUUUUUACUAUUUUCUCCACUGUUUGUUCCACAAGACCAUCAAAAAAUAUAAGUAGAUCAUACUUAUAUUCUGAGAGGUGCUUUUUAGACUCUUAUCAAAAUUAAUGUAUUCCGUAAAACUGAAACGAAAUACUUUUUCACGUCAUGCGUCACGUGAUCAACAACCGGACAUUACCACUGACGGAAGAAGAAAACGACAUGAAGUGGACUUUGCACAGUUGCUCUGAAGAGCUGCAGGAGGGAUUACACGACUGACGUUUUUAUGAGAUGAAGCUGACCACAACUGCUGAGGCGAGACAGUGGUGGAAAAAUAGCAAACCUGCAAUCAGGAAAAUAGAAAGACACAAUAUAUUGAAAUAGUAUUAUUAUCAGAAGGGGACUUCUGUUAAUUUGUUGAGUGUGCAUCCGGUGACAAAUGGGAAGUAACCGAAAGCGCCUAUCUUACUGAUGCAACGACCAACAAAACGCUCUUAGCAUCUCCACAUUUUGACCCUGCGAUCCAACUGCUGUAAGCAGAAAACGGGCCGGUCACUAAACGCAACGUCAGCUGUAAAUCCACAGGAGACCGUCCACGGUUCCUACGUUUUAACAAGUGUCGCUCCAUGUUGGUUCGUCGCACUUCAGACUCAUUGAGAGCUGUAGUGCAGCAGCAGCCUGCCACGGUCUGCUGAUUUCUAGCUGGAAGAUGGGGAUCGGCAGGGGAGCGCAGUCUGGCUGUGGGCAGCUGAGCCACACACUCACACACACACACACAAAGAAGCAGGUGUUGCAUCACAUGAACCUGUCACGCAUGAUCAGCGACGUUGUAAAGGGACUGCAUCUGCAAGAUGGUCACAUUUUCCAUCAAGAAGAGGAAAAAGAAUUGGAAGGUGUUAGUACUUAUUUCAAUAAGAAUACGCUGACAAUAAAAACAUGAUGAAUGCUGAACAGAAAACAGCAGCUAGUUCUGCUUUGUGGAUAUUUGUGUUGAUGACAUCAGAAGAGGUACGGGAAUCUAUACAUUUUAUAGAGUGGAUGCAUGCUUUGACUAUAGAAGUAAACUUUCUUUCAAGUCAUAUUUGAUGUAAAUAGCAUUUUUAUAACAAACACAUGAAGAAAAAAUGGUUAUUUGAUUCUUCAUUGUAAUUCUUAAAUAAUAAUUAAAAAAAAAAUACUCAAAUGA